rnacentral:rRNA from 1 species
GACGAACGCUGGCGGCGUGCUUAACACAUGCAAGUCGAGCGGUAAGGCCCUUUCGGGGGUACACGAGCGGCGAACGGGUGAGUAACACGUGGGUGACCUGCCCUCAGCUCUGGGAUAAGCCUGGGAAACUGGGUCUAAUACCGGAUAUGACUCCAUGACGCAUGCUGUGGGGUGGAAAGCCUUGUGCGGCUGAGGAUGGGCCCGCGGCCUAUCAGCUUGUUGGUGGGGUGAUGGCCUACCAAGGCGACGACGGGUAGCCGGCCUGAGAGGGCGACCGGCCACACUGGGACUGAGACACGGCCCAGACUCCUACGGGAGGCAGCAGUGGGGAAUCUUGCGCAAUGGGCGAAAGCCUGACGCAGCGACGCCGCGUGAGGGAUGACGGCCU